UAAGAGGAAGUAUAAGGGGAGUACGAAGGGUUUUGAUCCCUUAGGUGUAGGUUCGAUUCCUAUCCUCUUAA
rnacentral:tRNA from 1 species